AUUGAACGCUGGCGGCAUGCCUUACACAUGCAAGUCGAACGGCAGCACAGGCUUCGGUCUGGUGGCGAGUGGCGAACGGGUGAGUAAAGCAUCGGAACGUACCCGGAAGUGGGGGAUAACGUAGCGAAAGUUACGCUAAUACCGCAUAUUCUGUGAGCAGGAAAGAGGGGGAUCUUCGGACCUCUUGCUUUCGGAGCGGCCGAUGUCAGAUUAGCUAGUUGGUGGGGUAAAGGCCUACCAAGGCGACGAUCUGUAGCGGGUCUGAGAGGAUGAUCCGCCACACUGGGACUGAGACACGGCCCAGACUCCUACGGAAGGCAGCAGUGGGGAAUUUUGGACAAUGGGCGCAAGCCUGAUCCAGCCAUGCCGCGUGAGUGAAGAAGGCCUUCGGGUUGUAAAGCUCUUUCGGCCGGGAAGAAAUCGCACCAGUUAAUACCUGGUGUGGAUGACGGUACCGGAAUAAGAAGCACCGGCUAACUACGUGCCAGCAGCCGCCGUAA
rnacentral:rRNA from 1 species